ensembl:lncRNA
UUUUUUUUCUUUUUUGGCCACCCUGAAGCAUAUAGAGUUCCAGGGCCAGGGAUCAAACCCAAACAGCAGCUGCACCCUGCACCACAGCUGUACAAAUGCUGGUUCCUUAACCUGCUACACCACAAGGAAACUUCCAAAACCAGAAUAAUCUAUAACAGUGACUUUUAUAUUGCCUUUAUUUAAUUCUAAUAUAAAAAUACUACCAAUAUCUUAACAUGAGGUAUUUGCUUAAUUUCUAAUUAACUUCACCUCUGUCCUUUCUUUCCCAUAUCUUUUCUCAUUUGGUGGCUUUAAAUACAUUCAUACCAAUUCUCCAUUUUCAAAUGAUGCAACAGACAAGGGCUUAAUCUCUAGAAUAUACAAACAACUUAUACAACUUAACAGCAAAAAAGCCAAUCACCCAAUGGAAAAAUGGGCAAAAGACCUGAAUAGACAUUUCUCCAAAGAGGAUAUACAGAUGGCCAACAAACACAUGAAAAAAUGCUCAACAUCGCUGAUUAUAAGAGAAAUGCAAAUCAAAACUACCACGAAAUACCACCUCACACCAAUCAGAAUGGCCAUCAUUAAUUAAGUCCACAAAUAACAAAUGCCGGAGGGGUUGUAGAGAAAAGGGAACCCUCCUGCACUGCUGGUGGGAAUGUAAACUGGUACAACCACUAUGGAAAACAGUUUGGAGACACCUUAGAAAUCUAUACAUAGAACUUCCAUAUGACCCUGCAAUCCCACUCUUGGGCAUCUAUCCGGACAAAGCUCUACUUAAAAGAGACACAUGCACCCGCAUGUUCAUUGCAGCACUAUUCACAAUAGCCAGGACAUGGAAACAACCCAAAUGUCCAUCGACAGAGGAUUGGAUUCGGAAGAUGUGGUAUAUAUACACGAUGGAAUACUACCCAGCCAUAAAAAAAGAAUGACAUAAUGCCAUUUGCAGCAACAUGGAUGGAACUAGAGAAUCUCAUACUGAGUGAAAUGAGCCAGAAAGACAAAGACAAAUACCAUAUGAUAUCACGGAGUGGGAGGGAUCAGGAGCUUGGGGUUAUUGGAUACAACUUGGAAUGGAUUUACAAUGAGAUCCUGCUGAGUAGCAUUGAGAACUAUGUCUAGAUACUUAUAUUGUAACAGAAUGAAGGGUGGAAAAAAAAAAUGUAUACAUGUAAGUGUAUCUUGGCCCCCAUGCUGUACAGCAGAAAAAUAAAUAAAUAAAUUUUUUAAAAAAAUUUUUAAAAAGUGAUUUAAAAGCUAGAUUUUUCUGAAAUCCUACUUUUUCAAAUGACUAUCAAAAGAGAAAGAAAAUGAUCAUGUAGUAAUUCUACCUUUAAAAUGAGAGGUCCACACUGUGAAAAUAGAGAAAAAAUAUAUUCAAAAAGACUAACAAACUGCUAAAGCCAUUUCCUGCAAAGAAAGUACAAUUCUGAUUGCAAGUGUUAAAGUUAUAGAAAACAACUCCCUGUUCUUCAAAAACCAUUAAAAUAUGGCUCCAAAAUCAAAAGUAUUACUAUUUUUUUAAACAUAAAGGUAUUAAGAGCAAAAUUACGUUAUUAAUAAACUUAAGCAAUGAGCUGUUGUGCUGGAAGACAACAGUGGUGAGAUACACACAAUACUAACCCAUCUUACCAAAAAAAAAAAAAAAAGACAGAGUAAUAAACACAAGCAUAAAAGAAAACUGACUCACUCACUUUAAAACAGGGGUUUAUGCUUUUGAAAUUCUACAGUAUGGAAUUUUCUUCCUAUGGGAUACUGUACAAAUGUCUUUGUCUUACCCAAAGUAUACUAAAAUUACAAAUACACACUCAUACUGAGGAAAAUUGCUUUUACUUAUCAGGUUGAAAGAAACAAGGAAGCCUUGGAAAAACAGAUUAUUUCCAGGGAAGAAAAGUAAAACAGGAAAGUGAAGAUAUAAUAAAAGGACUAUAAUCAGAGAUAUGGGAGGAAGACAAACUGCAUUAAUUAAUUUUCUUUAAGAAAUGAGACUAGCUGCACACUGAGAUGAAUUGUCUCAUUUUCCAAGUGUCCCAAGUGGCAAAGUCAAACAAAUAACUCUGUAAUUCUUCAUUAGUAUUUCAUCAAGUUUAACCAUUUGCAGACUGCCAGAGGCGGGGUAGGGGAAUCCCUCAAAUCUUAUGAGAAUUAUGACUAAUCAACUUUUUAUGUGUAUUUUUCAAUAUCUUUCUUUGUUCAAAUAACCAAGUGCCAAAUGGAACUGGCAUAAAAACAGGCCAAAACCAAAUAAAAUAAGUAGACCCCAGGAAGGGUCUAUUCUUCAUGAGAGGCCAUGCUAGACAGAGCAAAACCUUUCAAAUCUUUGAGAACUGGGUUUAAAUUCUGACUCUUCCACUUCUGAGUAAAAUGAUUUUGUACCAUUUAUUUAAUCACUCAAGUCUCAAUUUUCACAAAUGUACAAAGAAAGGAUACUUAAAGGAUAUAUAUGAUAAAUAUCAUAUAUGUGAUUUUUAAAUAUUUAAAUAUCAUAUAUACAUAUAUAUAUGUGUGUGUGUGUGUGUGUAUGUGUAAAGCACCUGGCUCUUUCCUUAGAAAAUGUUUAAUUACUCUAAUAAAGUUUACAAAUCAGGCAAAUAUUUACACAAACAUUGAGAGACACUGUUACAUGAUCAAAAUUUUGAGUAUACUGUGUGAUCUUCCUUUUUGUUGUUGUAUUUUUUUGUUUUUUUUUUUAGGGCUGUACCUGCGGCAUAUGGAGGUUUCCAAUUGGAGCUACAACUGCCAG